CUGGGUGUAAGGGUGCGUAGGCGGCUCUGCAAGUCAGGUGUGAAAACUAUCAGCUUAACUGAUAGACUGCAUUUGAAACUGUGGAGCUUGAGUGGAGCAGAGGCAGAUGGAAUUCCCGGUGUAGCGGUGAAAUGCGUAGAGAUCGGGAGGAACACCAGUGGCGAAGGCGAUCUGCUGGGCUUUAACUGACGCUGAGGCACGAAAGCAUGGGUAGCAAACAGGAUUAGAUACCCUGGUAGUCCAUGCCGUAAACGAUGAUUACUAGGUGUGGGGGGUCUGACCCCCUCCGUGCCGGAGUUAACACAAUAAGUAAUCCACCUGGGAAGUACGACCGCAAGGUUGAAACUCAAAGGAAUUGACGGGGGCCCGCACAAGCAGUGGAGUAUGUGGUUUAAUUCGAAGCAACGCGAAGAACCUUACCAGGUCUUGACAUCCAACUAAUCCUGUAGAGAUACGGGAGUGCCCUUCGGGGAAAGUUGAGACAGGUGGUGCAUGGUUGUCGUCAGCUCGUGUCGUGAGAUGUUGGGUUAAGUCCCGCAACGAGCGCAACCCUUGUGAUUAGUUGCUACGCAAGAGCACUCUAAUCAGACUGCCGUUGACAAAACGGAGGAAGGUGGGGACGACGUCA
rnacentral:rRNA from 1 species